CUGCUGCCUCCCGUAGGAGUUUGGGCCGUGUCUCAGUCCCAAUGUGGCCGGGUCACCCUCUCAGGUCGGCUACUGAUCGUCGCCUUGGUGAGCCGUUACCUCUCCAACUAGCUAAUCAGACGCGGGUCCAUCUCAUACCACCGGAGUUUUUCACACCAAACCAUGCGGUUUUGUGCGCUUAUGCGGUUUUAGCCAGUCAUUUCUAACUGUUAUCCCCCUGUAUGAGGCAGGUUACCCACGCGUUACUCACCCGUCCGCCA
rnacentral:rRNA from 1 species